UACGGAGAGUGCAAACGUUGUUCGGAUUCACUGGGCGUAAAGGGCACGUAGGCGGCUCGGCAAAUCGGUCGUGGAAUCCCGACGCUUACCGUCGGAACGGCGGCCGAAAAUACCGGGCUCGAGGGCGUGAGGGGUCACUGGAACUCCUGGUGAAGCGGUGAAAUGCGUAGAUAUCAGGAGGAACGCCGGAGGCGAAAGCGAGUGACUGGCGCGUUCCUGACGCUGAGGCACGAAAGCGUGGGGAGCAAACAGG
rnacentral:rRNA from 1 species